rnacentral:tRNA from 1 species
GGAGAGGUGGCAGAGUGGUCGAAUGCACCGCACUCGAAAUGCGGCAUACCCGCAAGGGUAUCCAGGGUUCGAAUCCCUGCCUCUCCGCCA